rnacentral:rRNA from 1 species
CUUCCAGACUCCUACGGGAGGCAGCAGUGGGGAAUAUUGCACAAUGGGGGAAACCCUGAUGCAGCGACGCCGCGUGAGCGAUGAAGUAUUUCGGUAUGUAAAGCUCUAUCAGCAGGGAAGAAAAUGACGGUACCUGACUAAGAAGCCCCGGCUAACUACGUGCCAGCAGCCGCGGUAAUACGUAGGGGGCAAGCGUUAUCCGGAUUUACUGGGUGUAAAGGGAGCGUAGACGGCGGUGCAAGCCAGAUGUGAAAGCCCGGGGCUCAACCCCGGGACUGCAUUUGGAACUGUGCUGCUAGAGUGUCGGAGAGGCAGGCGGAAUUCCUAGUGUAGCGGUGAAAUGCGUAGAUAUUAGGAGGAACACCGGCGGCGAAGGCGGCCUGCUGGACCGUGACUGACGUUGAGGCUCGAGAGCGUGGGGAGCAAACAGGAUUAGAUACCCCCGUAGAC